UGCACAAAUACAAUAUACACUAUUUACUCUUCGAGUACCGGGUAUAAUAAAUUUAAACACGAACCGUAAACCCCAAAUGUAACUUUUAAUCCAUCUAUGCAAGUAUCAUAACUGAUGGUAUGUCUUAAUCUGUAAGACAGAACUGUGUGUAUGUGGUAAACGUACAUAUGUAUAGGCAUACGAACGUACAUAUGUAUAUCUCUAAAUAAUAUUAGUAUUUUAUUUUAGAGUUCGAUUGUUAGCAAUUUUGUGAGAUUCAAUAAACGAAGUCCAAGUU